AUACUGAAUCUAGGUAAAAUACCUUGCUCAAGGGUACAACAGCAGUGUCCCUCACCCAGGAUUGAACCCACAACCCUCCGGUCAAGAGUCCAGGUAUAAUGAGGUAUAAACACUGCUGUUUAGGAAUAGAGCACUUUUUUUUUUUACUAUACACACAUUCCAUUUACAUACAAACGUUUCACAUGUCUGUUGUUUUAGAGACAAGGCUGAAGUUGGCUUCUUAUUCGCCAGCUUCUCAUUCGCUCAGCUUCUUAUUCGCUGGCUUUUAGUGCAUAAAUGUAUUUGUCUAUGUUGAAGAAGUAGCCUUGAAUUUAACUGGUUAAAUCACUUUUGGCCACCGAUUUCUCUGCCGGUACCUGACAAGGGGCAACCCCUCUGCAAGCCCCACUUCUAUUUAGCCCGGCCCAACGUGGUAUAUUGGGGCAGAACAGAGGGCAAUCAUGCCACAUAUGCCAAUUGCACAGCUUCUUAUUUGCUUUAUGUAUCUAUGUUGAAUAGUGUCUUGGGAAGAUUACUCUUUACUGUCUGUACACUUUGAUGGCUUUGCUAGGUCCGUAGGUCAAACAGAACUUUAGUUAUAGAAUAAUGUGUGUUUUGCUUUUAUAAGUAUAUUAAAUAAAAUAUAGAAAUAAAGUAUAAAGAUGUGUUUGUGGUUUCAGCUGACUAGACUUGUGGGAGCUUGCAUAUUCAGCUGAUGUCACAUCAGCUAUGUAAGGACCAAUCAGUAUGUUUGUAAAGGACCAACGUCCCAUAGCAACUGACUCAACAAACCAGUAACCAAUAGAAGCAGUUGGUAAACAAAACUCAAGAUAAACCACAAGUCUAGUCUGGCUGCCUACAGGUGUUGAAGCAGGAUGCUUGCAUGCGUUUAACUAGCAGAUAUGUGACAAAAGUCACGUAUGCUCAGAACAACUGUCUAUAUAAGGAGAAGAUAGAAAUAAAUCUGGGAGCUUCUUUGCGAUUGCUUGCGGAGCCUGCGUUGCUCUGUUGAAACUCCAGUCUGCAGACUUAAUAAAAGCUUUUGUUUUACUCCGCUUUGUCUGCAAGGCCUGAGUCUCUGUUAUAGGGUCUGGAAACGAAACUUCCACCACAAUUUGGCGACGAGGAUGGGAUACUGAACUCCGCCCGCUGAUUGUCCUGGGAAACAGAGUCAACUGUCGACGGGACCUUAACAAAUACUAAGGUCAGGACUACCGCGUUCCGGAAACGGACAGAGGCCGCUCUGGAUCUGUCUGAGGGCACCGGCGAGGCGGAUAAAGUAUCCCGAACAAACUGAGAGACACAGAGACGAGUCGGAGAGGAUUCCACACCUCUGGGCAUGGAACGAGGCGUGUGCAGAGAGACAAGCUUUGGGGGCCGCCUGGAAGAACUGCACGUGAAUCCUUAGACAACAACAGGGUAAUGGAUGGAAACAAAGACCACUUCCCUUCGAGAGUGACAUAGAGGGAACGUGGCAACCUGUGCGUUUGAUAAGCCAGAAUAAUACAAUGACUCCAGCACAGUUUGAACAAUGUUCUACUUGUGAUAUAACAGUGGGAGGGGUCCAGUAUGAGUCAAUAUGCAACCGAACUGUAAGCAGUAACGCGUCAUUGGAGGUGGACUGUCUCUGGACGACAAAAAACUAUACCAAACAGUGACAACAGGAGCAAGCUAAUGCAACAAGUCGAGAGCAAAAACAGCAGAAUGUGGGGUUGCACCCAUGAUACUUAUAAUUGGACAUGUGUUAAUGUGACAGGGCAAAGGAUAGCGCACAGUGUGUGUAACGGUACUUGGGAAAAUACAGGGUAUAUGGGAGGUAUGAAGCUACAGUUCCACUCCACUCAAUGUCCCCCGUUGAUGCCAUUUCCCCCCAGACAGGUUGGUAGCUGUGGGGAGGGCAAAACCAUUUGUGAUGGGAGUAACCUGGUUGCAAACAUUGGUAAGAAUAAACAUUGAAGAUAUCAAACGAUGCUAUUCAGAGAUUGGCCAUGGCUGAACAAAUGACUGGUGAAACACUGGAUAUUACAACAAAUGUCAUGAGAGAGACGGUUGACGCAAUAAUUGAAGAUAUAAAUUUGACAGAUUGGAGAGAACAGAUGUUACGUGGGUUAGCUAAGAACAGAUACCCAGCGUAUCCAGAGUUUCAGGAUAAUAUGGUGAUAUGUACUGAACGAUGUGAUGAAGAUAUUUGUUUUAUUUUAAUAGUGCCACAUACCACCAGUCGGGUCCACCACAGUACCGGGAUAACAGUCAGUAGCCUAGGGGUAGUAAUUGGAACACGGGUUAUCGUCCCACAAAUAACAUGGGUUGAUCAGCAUGCCCAAAAUGCCACCCUGUACUUCAAGGCCACUGAGUGUAUUGAAUUUGGUGAUGCUAUUCUGUGUGACCAUGCUGGCAGCACUAACCUGUCAAUGCAAAUGAUGGAAGCAACGGUACACCCAAAGUUAGGGUACGAAAGAUGAACUCAGAUGAGGAAUGGAACAUGGUGCGUAAUCACCUCAAGCAUGGGGGUGGGAAGUGUUUUCACCCACAGGGUGUUGUGACUGUGGGACACCUGAGCAUGCACCCCACUCCACCUAUUAACAUCACAGGCAUUAUCGAAGACGCUGAAGAAUGGAUGAAGACAAUUAAUCAUACAGGUAUGCUGAAUGCAUUGGCACACAUUAACAAGCAGUUUAUGGACGUUCACUCAAGAGUAGUGAUAGCUAGAGUGCAGGCGUCACUGGUGGGCAACAGUGGGCAACUGAUAUUAGCAGACGCCCGAUCAUGCGGGUGGGGUAUCCUAUGUGGAUUAGCUGGAGAAAGUGCUGGAGUGGACUGGGCUGACUGGUGGAAUGUAGGGGGACAUGCUUCCUCGCUUAUUUCAUUAUUGGUAUUGCUUAUUGCUAUGUUAUUAUUCUGUUAUUUGAAAUAUGUGCUUAAGAAACAAAAGAGAUUACUUACAGGGCUAGCCAAUGAAGUAUUGUGUUCCCGCAUACUGGGCUAUCAACCACUGAAACAGGAUGAUACAACUCAAGUUUAGUGGUGUUAAUAGCAUUAAUGCUUCUGAUUACUUGUAUUAAAAAGCUCUGUACCAAAGUCGUGGAUAACGCCUUAACUAUGCCUCUGCUCACCACUGAAGGUCAGUGUAAUGAUGGUGAUGACACUGAUCCUUUUAGUGAAAUGGCUGAUGAUGUAAUGUAAUUUCCUGCUUUAUGGUUGUAAUUUAAUUACAAAAGGAGGGAAUGUCUUGGGAAAAUUACUCUUUACUGUCUGUACACUUUGAUGGCUUUGCUAGGUCCGUAGGACAAACAGAACUUUAGUUAUAGAAUAAUGCGUGUUUUGCUUUUAUAAGUAUAUUAAAUAAAAUAUAGAAAUAAAGUAUAAA